UGGUUAUUUACUAUAUAUGAAAGACACAACUUCUUUCUUUUCUUUUUUUUUUUUUUGAGGCGGAGUUUUGCUCUUGUUGCCCAGGCUGGAGUGCAGGGGCAUGAUCUCAGCUCACUACAACCUCUGCCUCCUGGGUUCAAGCGAUUCUCCUGCCUCAGCCUCCCAAGUAGCUGGGAUUGCAGGCUCCCACCACCAUGCCUGGCUAAUUUUAAAAAUAUUUUUAGUAGAGACGGGGUUUCACAAUAUUGGCCAGGCUAGUCUCGAACUCCUGACCUCUGGUGGUCCACCCACCUUGGCCUCCCAAAGUGCUGGGAUUACAGGUGUGAGCCACUGCACCCAGCUGACACAACUUCUUUCUAAAUAAUCUUUAUGCAACUUAUAAGUUAUAAUCCUUAUUAUCCUGACUUACGAGUAUGACCCAAUCUUUGAAUUUAGUUUCUUUGUUUACUCGUCAAAUAAUCUCUCAUUUUUAAUUGUAAGAAAUUAGUUCUGUAACAUAAGUGAGCCUGAAAGAAAGAGAACAGGCUCCGAUAAUGGAGUAGUUUUUAUCAGACUUAUCUUCCCAGUAGUCCCACACUGUCCCACUCACACACAGUCACACUCAGUGCCUUCCCAGGGGCAGCCCAUAGCAGAAUAGGAUGCACACUACUCUGGGAUGGAAGGAAAGGCAAGACUUCAAGGACUGGGCUGCCUAGCCAAACCUCUUUGGUGUGUUGCAUGAAAUUUUUGAAGUUUUUAUGGAUAUUGGAGGCAAGAAGAGAUACAAUAAGAAGCUCAAUUAACUAAAUGACUUUUUUAUCAAAACUUCAUCUCACCCUAAAUGGGCUUUCAGUCAUCUCCCUAGUCUCACAAGUGAGCACUGAGGGAUCCUUGCCCUGGAAUUAGUCAGUUCUCUAUGAAUAGGCAUUUAAGAACAUUUCUCUCUGUAGCUAGAAUGUCAGGUCAGCUACCUGGGCAUUUACUUGGUUUCUGUCCUGAUAGAGCCCAAGUGCUUAUGUGAUAACCUAAUUCUCUCACCUUGUCCUCCUGUUCUUAUGAUAUUUAAAAAGUCUUUUCCUUGACUUAUUCUUCAAUAAUUGUGUCAUUUUGGUUCCUGCCAGGUUAGCGGCUUCCUUGCUUUCGAUUCUGACUUCAUUGUGUCCCCUAAUCCCUAAAUGCCUUCUUGAUUUCAGCCCACUUCCUUUCUGACCUCCAGUGGCACUGGCGUGUGUACAGACACACUGAGUUCCAUUUACAUGUGCCUAGGACUGUGCACUCACUUAGCCUCACACUCAUCCACACUCACAUCCCCACUUUCCCACAAUCACUCACACUCAGUGUCCUCCAUUUACUCAGCCCCACUCACUCUCGCCCAACCGUACACACUUGUUCCAUUCACUCACACUCCUGGUCGUUCCCUUCACACUCACACUCCUUCACAUUCAUGACCAGCCACCCCACUGGCCUCCAUUUAGUACUACUCGGUCUCACCCAGCCCUACCCAUAUGCACACCAGAGUCAGCUCACUCACAGUCGCACAGUCAGUCCCUCAAAUGCAGUCACUCCCUCAGGAACUCCUUCCCUCUCACUCAGGUACAAUGUCUCAUUCAUCCUCAGUGCCCUUCACACACUUCAUAUACACACUGGGCAUGUGUCACACCCACUCACACAAACUUCAGGCACAGCCAGUCCUACCCACACUUAUUCACGCUUAUUUCACUCAUGCCCAGCCCCACCCACUCACACCUAGUCACACUCACAUGUGGUCCCAAACAGUUCCAGUAUACCUAGACUCACACAGUCCUACUCAUACCUAGUCACACUCAGUCACGCUCACACAUGGUCCCGCACAGUUCCAAUACACCUAGCCUCACACAGUCCUAUGCAUACCUAGUCACACUCAGUCACAUGCAUACAUGGUCCCACCCACUCACACUCACACCUAGUCACACUCACAUAUGGUCCCACACCGUUCCAAUACACCUGGUUUCACACAGUCCUUCUGACACCUAGUCACACUCAGUCACACUCACACAUGGUCCCACACAAUCACACUCACACUAGUCAUACUCUAUUCUACUACCUCUCAGAGAAUUCCACUCUAUUCUACUCUCUCGGUGUCAUUUGUCCCCUCAGGAGGAUGCAGCAUUCAAGGUUCUAUCUUGGAAGCAGAGACUGUGCCCUCACCAGAUGCUGAACCUGCUGAGCACCCUGAUCUUCCACUUCACCUUCAUCAGAACUACUGGGGCUGUGGCUGAGAUGUCACAUGGCAGAUAGGAUCACAAAUUUCUGUUGUAUCUGGAUGGAGAUCAGCAGGAGGAUCUAUGGGUGAGAAGAAGCACAGUUACAGAUGGAUUCUAGAGCCUGCUUGCUGACACAGGCUUGCAACUGCGGACUUUAUAAGCUUAGUUUUUAAUCUGCUAUCAGCUAGCAUAAUACCAUAAAUGCAUAAGAAACUAAGUAUUCAGUCUUACGAGAAAUGCUAUCUUGACCUGACCCUUUCUCCAAAUAAAUUGACAAAAUAUCUCAUCGUCUAGGAUGCCAGACAGAAAUACCAGUUGCAAUGUUUUGUUGCAUAAAGUUUAUCCUAAUUUAAAUUAGUGGCAUAUAAAGUCAUCAUCUUGCUUGAACAAACAUCUUAUUAAAUUGAGCAUGUCUUUUAUCCCAUGAAAUGAAAUUAAUUUUGAGAUAGUUAUUUUUCAGUUGGAAAUUUAUUGAGUUGAUAGAAAACAAGUUAUAUAGUCUUCCAAAGAAUAUGUUACAUCCAUUUGCAUUUUGUUUUUCUUCAGCAAUGUUUGGUUUUUAGAAAAUCUUACAAGUUAAAUAUACUAAUGUAGAAAUUGAAAGAAAAUAAUCAGAGAUAGAGCAAUAAAUUUGCAAAUAAAGAUUAUUCUUAAAACAAA
rnacentral:lncRNA from 1 species